AGCAGAAUUGUGGCGCAGUGGAAGAGGUGCUGGGCCCAUAACUCAGAGGUCCGUGGAUUCAAACCCACGCUCUGCUA